AUGGCUAUUUCUGUGAUGCUGUUGAAAUCCUGGGGACAAGAGCCCAGAAAGGAUGGGUCAGUUGUUUACCAGGAGGCUAGCGCUAGCCCCGACUUAAGCCUGAGUCACCUCCUCAUGUCCAAUCCCCAGGCCACCGCAGAGACAGCGGCAGGAGCACAGGCAAGGGCCCGGGCAGGGCUGAGUUCAGGGUCGGCGCCGCCGCCAGGCCGGCCUGCGAAACCCAGAGCCGAGGUUCCGACCUCCGGGGGCUCCGGCUCCCGUCCUGGGCAGCAGGGGCCGCGGGGCGCGGGCCCAAGGUCAGCCUCGCAGCAUCGCGCGCACUCAUCGGGUUCCGAGGCCAGGGCCCUGUCGUGGGUCCGAAGGGGGCGACCCGCGGGGCUGGAGGGCAGUUGGCGGCGCGGGGCAGGGCGCACGGCAAGCGCCGCGGAGGGGCUGCCCCGCACCGCAGCCAGCCGGGGCCCGGCCCGGGCCAGGCCGCGCCCCCCGGCCGGCUCAGCUGGAGCCGGCGGUGUAGCCGGCGGCGUAGCCGGCGGCGGGGGCGGGGACCGAGCGAUCUGCGAGCGCAGCGCCGCGGCGCCGGAGCGCCCGCACCUCAGCACCCCCGAGCCCCCCGGCCUGCCGGGCGGGAGGAGGAGAACCGCCUCCUCACGGAAGAAGCCCGCCAGCCGCGCGCCGCCCCGGUCGGUGCCCUACCUGGGCGCGGAGCCGAGAAGCGACCAGCGGGCAGCAGGGGGGCGCGGGCCGGGCCGCCGCAGCCGCGCAGGUCUGCCUGCCCGCCACCCGCCAACCAGGCCUGCCCGCCGCUACCUGGGGCGCCCGGGCGGCGCUGCCAACAGGAAACUUGAGAGCGCCAGGGGCGCGGCGGCCGCCCUGUCCCCCGGCCGGCCGGAAGCGCGCCCGCCGCAGCCCGGGGUCAGGCUCCAGCCGGGCUCCUCGGAACUCGCCUCCGCUGCCACCCGCGGGGCCCGAGAGCGCUUGCCGCCGUGUUCCGACUUGCUCGAGUUUCCUCCCUCUCCUCCCUCGCCAGGACGUUUCCCAAGGUCGCACCGCAGCCUGUCUCCUCUGUCAUUUGCGGGCCUACCCAGUCUUGUGGUUUCAACAACCUCCUGCCUGCUAACGACUUUUGAACCUCACCUCCAACCCAGGACGUCCUCUAGAGCUGCAGGUGGUAUAUCCAGCUUCCUGGGGGCCAUCUCCACUGGAGCCGCUCUCGAGAUCCUCCAGCGGGACCUCAUCAGCCAGGAGAUGUUCUCAGACAACUACAAGAUCUGGGAGAUUGUGUUCGGCGGUGCCUGGAGGUGGAGGGGAAAGUUGGUGAGUAGGACAGAGGGUAACACUGAUAACCCGUUAGUUGGUGGAAAUGCCUCUGCUGAAGGCUCCGAGGUUGAAAGUACUGAAAGCGCAGUCAUCACUGCUGUUGAUAUUGUCCCGAACCAUCCCUUCCAGGAAACCAGCUCCACUAAAGAAGCCUACAGGCACUACAUCAAAGAUGUAAUCAAUCAAAGGCAAACGUGAAGAAUAGAGGCUUCUAUGACGGGAACUGCAGAACACAACAAGCACAACCUCGCUGAUUUCGAAAACUACCAGUUCUUUAUGGGAGAGAACAUGAAUCUAGAUGGCGUAGUUGCUCUGCUAGACUACCUUGAGGAUGGAGUGACCCCAUAUAUGAUUUUCUUUAAGGAUGGUUUAGAAAUGGAAAAAAUGUUAACAAUUUGGACAUUACUUUGGAUGUAUCACCUGUUGUCAUAACUGACUGCUAGUCUUCGUCCACACAACACCAGGACUUAGACAAAUGGGACUGAUGUCAUCUUCAGCUCUUCAUUUAUUUUGACCUUGAUUUAUUUGGAGCAAAAGGCAUUUUGUUAAGAAAAAACAUGUCACAUAGGUUGUCUAAAAAUAAAAUGCAUUUAAACUCAUUUGA